AUUGAACGCUGGCGGCAUGCCUUACACAUGCAAGUCGAACGGCAGCACGGGAGCAAUCCUGGUGGCGAGUGGCGAACGGGUGAGUAAAGUAUCGGAACGUGCCCAGUCGUUGGGGAUAACGUAGCGAAAGUUACGCGAAUACCGCAUACGAUCUACGGAUGUAAGCGGGGGAUCGCAAGACCUCGCGCGCAUGGAACGACCGAUAUCAGAUUAGGUAGUUGGUGGGGUAAAGGCUCACCAAGCCGACGAUCUGUAGCUGGUCUGAGAGGACGACCAGCCACACUGGGACUGAGACACGGCCCAGACUCCUACGGGAGGCAGCAGUGGGGAAUUUUGGACAAUGGGCGCAAGCCUGAUCCAGCCAUGCCGCGUGCAGGAUGAAGGCCUUCGGGUUGUAAACUGCUUUUGUACGGAACGAAAAGGUUUGGCUUAAUACGUUGAACUCAUGACGGUACCGUAAGAAUAAGCACCGGCUAACUACGUGCCAGCCGCCGCGGUAAGAC
rnacentral:rRNA from 1 species